GACAGAGGCCACAAGCGUUAGGCGGAAUCACUGGGCUUAAAGCGUGUGUAGGUGGAUGGCUAAGUGCCUUGUGAAAUCCCCCGGCUCAACCGGGGACCGCUGGGCAGACUGGUCGUCUUGAGCCACCUAGGGGCAACUGGAACGAACGGUGGAGCGGUGAAAUGCGUAGAUAUCGUUCGGAACGCCAACGGUGAAAACAGGUUGCUGGGGGUGUGGCUGACACUGAGACACGAAAGCCAGGGGAGCAACGGG
rnacentral:rRNA from 1 species